CAUCUCUCAGGCCUCACCUGGAGAGUUUCCAGUACUCUAUCAGUUUUAACUACAGGAGGGAGAGUCAAGCAGAGGUCUACCCAUUCCAUUCCUAGCUUGGGCAGUGGCUAGCAAGUGGAAGGCAAUCUGCUACGAGU